rnacentral:lncRNA from 1 species
CAUGGAAGAUGGGUUCUCUACAAGUGUUACCAUUUAAGAACUAAACUUACACUGAGGGGGAACCUAAUGAUAUUUUAAAAACAGUUUAAAUUUUUUAUUCAAACAAAAAUACUAUGCAUCUGACAUGAGUGCAACAUCCCAUAUCAACUUGAUUUAAAAUUUUACAGGAUUAUUUUUUGUACCCAAAUUGACAACAAAGUAAUUGAAGGUUAGAUCAUUUUAGAAAAAUAAUAAUCCUUUAUUUUAUUUAAUAUGAUCUAUUCUCAGAACAAAAUAAAAUUUUUGAUGUGUGACAGCCAUAAAUCUUGCAAAAUGCGCAAAUGUGUUGAAUUAAGUGUGCAAUAAUGGACAGGCAAUCAUGGGAAGGUGCACACCAUAUGGUGGCAACUAACAUCCACCUAGACUUGUCGCUAGCUUUUUUUUGCCAAUAGAGCCUCACUCGUCU